rnacentral:rRNA from 1 species
GAGCGUAGGGCGCGAGCGUUGUCCGGAUUUAUUGGGCGUAAAGAGCUCGUAGGCGGCUUGUCGCGUCGACUGUGAAAUCCCCGCGGCUCAACUGCGGGUCUGCAGUCGAUACGGGCAGGCUAGAGUUCGGUAGGGGAGACUGGAAUUCCUGGUGUAGCGGUGAAAUGCGCAGAUAUCAGGAGGAACACCGGUGGCGAAGGCGGGUCUCUGGGCCGAUACUGACGCUGAGGAGCGAAAGCGUGGGGAGCGAACAGG